rnacentral:rRNA from 1 species
UAAGGAAUAUUGGACAAUGGACGCAAGUCUGAUCCAGCCAUGCCGCGUGAAGGAUGAAUGCCCUCUGGGUUGUAAACUUCUUUUAUAGGGGAAGAAAGAUACUUUUUUUAAGGUAGUUGACGGUACCCUAUGAAUAAGCACCGGCUAACUCCGUGCCAGCAGCCGCGGUAAUACGGAGGGUGCAAGCGUUAUCCGGAUUUACUGGGUUUAAAGGGUGCGUAGGCGGGCAUGUAAGUCAGUGGUGAAAUACCGGAGCUUAACUUCGGAACUGCCAUUGAUACUAUAUGUCUUGAAUAUUGUGGAGGUAAGCGGAAUAUGUCAUGUAGCGGUGAAAUGCAUAGAUAUGACAUAGAACACAGAUUGCGGAGGCAGCUUGCUACGCAAAUAUUGACGCUGAGGCACGAAAGCGUGGGGA